CCCUUAGAUGUUCUGGGCCGCACGCGUGCUACACUGAGUGGAUCAGCGGGUCAGGUUGCGCGAAAGCGUUUCCUAAUCUUGAAAUCCGCUCGUGAUGGGGAUUGACGGUUGCAAUUUUCUGUCAUGAACGAGGAAUACCUUGUAAGCGCGGGUCAUCAUCCCGCGCUGAAUACGUCCCUGCCCUUUGUACACACCGCCCGUCGCUCCUACCGAUUGAGUGGUCCGGUGAGGCUUUGGGAUCUGAGCGGAAAAAGCGUUUCGCUCGUUCUGCCCGGAAAACUCAGUCGAACCUUAUCAUUUAGAGGAAGGAGAAGUCGUAACA
rnacentral:rRNA from 1 species